CGCUACCGACGAGCGACGAGCCCUGACAGUUAAACCCCAUCGAAUCCAUCUUGACUCGUCGAACCCCCAACGCUUCCCGCCACUGUAGCCAUGGCGCCUCCGGCCGCCGUGGACCCGCGCAGCGGCUACUGCGCCGACACGGGGACAUUCCACAGCCUCCGCGCGCCCGUCCCGCUGCCGCCGCCGGACCUGCCGCUCUCCUUCCCGGCCUUCGCCUUCUCCCUCCUCCCCUCGCCGCUCCCCACCCGUCCGGCCCUCAUCGACUCCGCCACCGGCGAGGCCGUCCCAUUCCCCGCGUUCCUCGCUCGAGUCCGCGCGCUUGCCGCGCAUCUCCGCGCCUCCCUCUCCCUCGCCCGCGGCGACGUGGCCUUCGUCCUCGCGCCGCCCGGCGUCCACGUCCCCGUGCUCUGCCACGCGCUCAUGGCCGUCGGCGCCGUAGUGUCCCCCGCCAAUCCGGCCCUCACGGCGGGGGAGGUCGCCGGCCUCGUCGCGCUCUCCAAGCCGUCCGUGGCCUUCGCCGUCUCGAGCACCGUCGGCAAGCUCCCGCCCGAGCUCAGCACCAGCGCCGUCCUCCUCGACUCCCCGAGAUUCCUCUCCUUCUUGCAACGCCCUGCAGGAGCCCACGCCACCGCUGUGAUUCACCAGUCGGAUCCGGCGGCGAUCCUGUACUCGUCCGGCACCACGGGGCGCGCCAAGGCGGUCGUGCUCACGCACCGCAACCUCAUGCUCGCGCGCACCGUGCCCGCGCCGCCGCCGGACGACGUGCCGAUGCUGGCCGUGCCGAUGUUCCACAUCUACGGCUUCGUGUUCUGUCUCAUAGCGGCGAUGUCGGCACAGACGCUCGUGCUGCACACGGCGAGGAGGUUCAACGCCAGGGACGUGCUGGCCGCGGUGGGGAGGUUCCGGGUCACGCGCCUCGCCCUCGCGCCGGCGGCGCUGAUGGCCGUUGUGAGGACGGCUGAGGAGGACCGGAGUGUGGUUGCCGCCGCGUCAACGCUGCAGACCGUGCUCUGCGGCGGCGCGGCCGUCCCCGCAGAGCUCAUACGUCGCUUCCCGGAGAAAUUCCCCCGCGCCGUUGUGGCACAGGGAUAUGGGCUGACGGAGGCUACUGCUGGUUUUGUCCGUGCCAUUGGGGCAGAAGAAGUUCGAAGAAUUGGAUCAGUGGGGCGUCUCAACUGGGGCACUGAAGCCAAGAUUGUUGAUCCGGAAACAGGGGAUGCUCUGCCUCCGGGUCUGCCGGGUGAGCUUUGGGUCCGAGGACAUUUUGUAAUGAAAGGUUACCAUGGUGAUAAGGAAGCCACCUCUGCGAUUUUGGAUUCUGAAGGAUGGUUGAAAACCGGAGAUGUUUGUAGGAUUGACAGAGAUGGUUUCCUCUUUGUCGUUGAUCGGCUGAAAGAGUUAAUCAAGUGCAAGGGCUACCAGGUUGCUCCCGCAGAACUAGAGGGCCUGCUUCAAGCACACAGUGAUAUUGAUGAGGCUGCAGUUGUCGGAUACAGUGAUGAUCAGGCCGGUGAGCUACCAGUGGCAUUCGUCUUAAGGCGCUUUGGCAGUGAUUUAAGCGAGGCACAGAUCAAAGCCUUCGUAGCUGAACAGGUUGUGCACUAUAAGCGGAUACACCAUGUUUUCUUUGUGGAUUCCAUACCCAGAAAUGCUGCAGGAAAGAUCCUGCGGAAGGACUUGGUAAAGUCGAUGUUGCAUCCAAUUAGCUCCAAGCUGUAAAAUGUGUCUGUCCGUAUCAUUAAGCCAUUCCUGCUUGAGGAUUAUCUCCCUACGUACCAAAGAGAGACAAUGAAUUUAUAGAACUUGGGUGCAACCGAGCACGCGAAUUCUUCAACCGUUUUGUGUGACGCACCUGUAAUAGGCUAGAGGGUCGUUGAUCUUUUCUAGCCUUACUUUUAUUUUAUUUGUAAAAAUAUAGCAACUGUUUAGCAAGUCCGCAAACGCAGUAUGAGAUCAGGCUGUGUUUUCCUCUGUUAACAUGUGUAGUUUUCUUAUCCCUGAUUGGUCAUUGCAAAAAAAAAACUCCCUCGGUUCCGUAUGAACUGUUACGACAUCUUAUAAAACGGAAACGAAGGAGUACUAUUUAGUGCA